rnacentral:lncRNA from 1 species
GUGUCUCUUUCCCCACAGAUGUAACCAGGUUCCUGUGGAGGACACGGCUUUGCUAAGCCUGCCUGGCUUCUGUGUCCUCCUCUGGGCCUGAGUGCAGAGGGUGAGAGUCCACAUCCCCAGAACCAUGGGGACUGAACAGGAUUACUACAGAGCAGCAAAGAAGUGGGGCACCAAAGGAAAGAGUACACAACACCUUGUGAACACAGAAUUCUGGUGGACCCAGAAUAUGUGGGAGUUCAGUGAGACUUAAAGAGGAAAAGAUUUGACCUUCGAGAGCUGAGGGCAGGCCUCUGUCAGAACAGAGUAUGGAACAUGAAAUUGGUUAUGGAGCCGGACGAGAGGCUGAGAAUGUGGAUCGUCCUCCGAAGACGCUGUCCAGGGAAGACCUGGAGUGAAUCAUGGGCCAAGGGUGGAGGCCAAGUUACGGGGACAGAGAGGCGAAGACAAGGGCAGCAGUGCCCACAACAGGAAUUCCUACCCUUCAACUUUGUUCAUAGUGGUCCCUACUUUUAAUAUAUGUAAUGUAUUAAGACAGACAAUUCUGAGGUUGUAGUAACAAGGGAAAUGCAACUGGCACAGACAACCACUGAUUCUUUUUUUCAUGACUCCCCUAUUCGUGCUAACCUUUGUUCUGUGCCAAGUUCAUGACAAACCCCAGUUCAUUCCUGCAGCAAUGGGGGAAACUCUAAUCUUUGAGGGUAUUGGAAGGCUUCUGCCCUGCAGUCUUGUUGUGGGUUUACGCCUCCAAUUCCUACCCUGGGCUCUGUGAGAUGGGGAGUAGUAGAGGCUGUGAUCAGGCCACUGGGGAAUACCCAAGUCCAAGCAGGCUUGACAUCCACAUGUGCAGUCAAUUCUUGAUUAUCCACACCAAUGGUCUGUGACCCAGGCCCAGGUAAUCCCAAAUAAUUGACAAUCCAAAAGGAAUUUUCUCUUUGGUUUUGGAAUAUGCUUUGCUUUUUCCAGCUGCAGAUCCCCUCUCCCACUUACACUUUCCUUGUCGGAUAUUAAGAAUCAUUUAUGUUCCUUUAGUUGGGCACUUGGUCUGAGCAAUGGCUUGAAGUCAGCUUCAUAUUGAAAAUUUGCCUACUCCAUAGACAAAUGAUUCCCUUGCAGGCAGUUGAAUUUGACAGUAUCAUAUAUUGCAUAAAGAAUCAUCUGUCCAGGCUAGUGUUGUUAAUUCAUUCAUUCACCCAUUCGACACACAUGCAUUGAGCUCCUACUGUGUUCUAGGACUGCACAAUAAAUUAGAGCUAUGGAGAUGAAAGAUGGAGCCCCAGCUCUCAAGGGAUGUACCUUCUAGUGGGGCUUAAUGGAAUAGAUUUUAGUAUUUUCCUCCGGACCUGCACAGACCCACUGCAUAUUCACUUAUUCCCAUUUUCAGCUCCUCAUCUAACUCCUUUUGUGUCAGGAGUUUCAAUAUUUUUGGGAAAGUGCUGUAGAUGAUUGCUGGGUUGGGCAGUGUUUCCCAGAGAUGGAAAGAACCCAGGCCACUUUCAUUUUUGAGGGUCCAGAUAUAUUAAAAAUAGAAGAGAUGCCAAAACAGGGGUGCAAAUGUGUGGUGGAUUUUAAAUGUUUACAUUUAAUAAAUUAAUAUUUUGAUACUGCAAAAUUAUAGUGAUCAUAUAACUGCAUUUGGAGAAAAUGUCAGAAGUCUAAAUUCCAAGCCCUUUAUGAACGUGAGAUCUGGCUCCUCUCUUUCCCAUUCCCUGCUCAUGCUCAACCCCUGCCAAGAAAAGCCCUGAUUGUGGGAAAGGAAGUCUAAAUGGGACUAAAUGGGGAGCCAUUUUAAUGCUCAAAGGAACCUCUACAGACAUGAAGCACAGUUGGUCCAUGGCUCUGUGCCUUGUGGUCACAGGGAAUAGUUCUCAGCAAGGCAGACACAUCUUAAGCUCUUUGACUCAAGAGGCAUCAAAUCAAUUUGUUUCUACAAAGUUCUCCCAUUCCCAUGGCAUCAAAAGGACCCUAGCGGAGUGCGUGGCUAACAGCUACCACUCUGUUAAGCCCAUCCCUUCUGAGUAUCACCAUCUUCUUCAUUGCCACCUCCACACACCCCAGUAUUUACCCUUAGCCCUCUUAUUGAAAAGUCCAUGGAAGAUAAGGAACUUCAGACAUGAAAAUUGGAGUUAAGGCUCAG